rnacentral:rRNA from 1 species
AUUGAACGCUGGCGGCAUGCUUUACACAUGCAAGUCGAACGGUAACAGGUCUUCGGAUGCUGACGAGUGGCGAACGGGUGAGUAAUACAUCGGAACGUGCCUAGUAGUGGGAGAUAACUACUCGAAAGAGUAGCUAAUACCGCAUGAGAUCUACGGAUGAAAGCAGGGGACCUUCGGGCCUUGUGCUACUAGAGCGGCUGAUGGCAGAUUAGGUAGUUGGUGGGGUAAAGGCUUACCAAGCCUGCGAUCUGUAGCUGGUCUGAGAGGACGACCAGCCACACUGGGACUGAGACACGGCCCAGACUCCUACGGGAGGCAGCAGUGGGGAAUUUUGGACAAUGGGCGAAAGCCUGAUCCAGCAAUGCCGCGUGCAGGAUGAAGGCCCUCGGGUUGUAAACUGCUUUUGUACGGAACGAAAAGCCUGGGGCUAAUAUCCCCGGGUCAUGACGGUACCGUAAGAAUAAGCACCGGCUAACUACGUG